AUUGAACGCUGGCGGCAUGCCUAACACAUGCAAGUCGAGCGAGCGGCGGACGGGUGAGUAAUGUAUGGGGAACAGCCAGAAAGCGGGGGAUACCUAAUGGAACCGGUGGCUACUACCGCAUACGAUCGGAUUAACCCAUAUGGGAUUAGCUAGUAGGUGGGGGAAAGGCUCACCGAGGCGAAGAUCUAUAGCUGGUAUGAGAGGAUGAUCAGCCACACUGGAACUGAGACACGGCCCAGACUCCUACGGGAGGCAGCAGUAGGGAAUAUUGCGCAAUGGGCGAAAUCCUGAUGCAGCCAUGCCGCGUGUAUGAAGAAGGCCUUCGGGUUGUAAAGUACUUUCAGCGGGGAGGCGUUACCCACAGAGUAAGCCCCGGCUAACGCCGUGCCAGCAGCCGCGGUAAUUC
rnacentral:rRNA from 1 species